AUUAGAUACCCUGGUAGUCCACGCUGUAAACGAUGAAUACUAGGUGUCGGGUGGCAAAGCCAUUCGGUGCCGCAGCUAACGCAAUAAGUAUUCCACCUGGGGAGUACGUUCGCAAGAAUGAAACUCAAAGGAAUUGACGGGGACCCGCACAAGCGGUGGAGCAUGUGGUUUAAUUCGACGCAACGCGAAGAACCUUACCAAGUCUUGACAUCCUUUUGACCGGUCGGUAAUGCGACCUUCUCUUCGGAGCAAAAGUGACAGGUGGUGCAUGGUUGUCGUCAGCUCGUGUCGUGAGAUGUUGGGUUAAGUCCCGCAACGAGCGCAACCCUUAUCUUUAGUAGCCAGCAUUUCGGAUGGGAACUCUAGAGAGACUGCCAGGGAUAACCUGGAGGAAGGUGGGGAUGACGUCAAAUCAUCAUGCCCCUUAUGACUUGGGCUACACACGUGCUACAAUGGCGUAAACAAAGGGACGCAAUACCGCGAGGUUGAGCAAAUCCCAAAAAUAACGUCUCAGUUCGGAUUGUAGUCUGCAACUCGACUACAUGAAGCUGGAAUCGCUAGUAAUCGCAAAUCAGAAUGUUGCGGUGAAUACGUUCCCGGGUCUUGUACACACCGCCCGUCAGACCAUGGGAGUUGGGAAUGCCCGAAGCCCAGUGACCUAACCGUAAGGAAGGA
rnacentral:rRNA from 1 species